ensembl:miRNA Gm22565 predicted gene, 22565
UUGUGGGACUCCUAACAGCAGGAGUGGGAUUUGUCUCUGAUUCUGUUGCCUGCCUUUUGGAUCCUUUCC